rnacentral:lncRNA from 1 species
GGCUGUGUCCCCGUCUGUACGUGGCUCGUGAUUUUUCGGUUUUCAUUUGCCUCAAGAUGCUGCGAAGCCAUGACCGUUUGAUUUCGAUAUUGGCGCCUUGGAUCGCUAUGGGAG